GUUUAUAAAACUUUUGCCUAGAGUUUAAACUUGUCAGCUAGAUGGCGGCGUUUAAUCUGCAAAAUUUUAAAUGACUAUUAUCUGGGAAAGGUCAUGUAAAUAUGUCAUUUUAUUACGUUCUACAUCUGGGGGAUUGUCUGUUGUUAAAACGGUAAAAGCUCAAACUGCUGAGUUUCCAGUUAAAAGGUUUAAAAGCAAACGAGCUCUUGCUAAAACAAAAGUUAAUACCAGUGCUUCUCAACAUCUGAAGGCAUUAAAUAUGCUACUUGAACAGAGAUGACUUCUCCAUCUGAACAGUCAAUCAAUCUUCACCAGCCCACGUGCCAUCAGCAGCUGGGUUUUGUGUUUGUUUGAACGAAAGCGCCGCUUCAUGAGAGUUUUGAUGAGCUCGAGUGAUAAACGAGGACACAGUUUGGUGAGAAUGUGACUGCUUGACAGUGCAGGUGUAUUUUCCUGCCUGUCGUUGAUCCGGACAACACCAGUGACCCAAGCAGGGUGUGUGACGGAGAGUUUGUGUUGAGUCUCAUCGGAUUUGGGCCACCGGGACUCCACAGAUACAGUCGUUCACUCAAUCACAGAUGAGACGAAUACAAACAUAUUCUUGAAUAAACAUAUUUCAUUCUUUCAUAAAUGUCUGUAUUUUGUGACUAUGUAGUUGUUGCUAGGUUGUUCUGGGUGGUAGCUAAAGUAUUGCUAGAUGGUUGCUAGGGUGUUCUGGGUGGUAGCUAGGGAAUAAGUUGAUGGAUGCUUCUGUAGGGUGUUCAGGGUAAUAGCUAGGGAAUUGCUAGAUGGUUGCUAGGGUGUUCUAGGCAGUAGGGAAUUGCUAGAUUGUUAUUAUGGUGUUUUGGGUGGGGAAUUAUUAGAUGGAUGUUAGGGUGUUUUGGGUGGUAGCUAGGGAAUUUCUAGAUGGUUUUUCUGGGUGCU